UACGUAGGGUGCGAGCGUUGUCCGGAUUUAUUGGGCGUAAAGGGCUCGUAGGCGGCGUGUCGCGUCGGGAGUCGAAAGCCCGUUGCUUAACGGCGGGUUGGCUUUCGGUACGGGCAUGCUGGAGUGCGGCAGGGGAGACUGGAAUUCCUGGUGUAGCGGUGGAAUGCGCAGAUAGUCAGGAGGAACACCGGUGGCGAAGGCGGGUCUCUGGGCCGUUACUGACGCUGGAGGAGCGAAAGCGUGGGGAGCGAACAGG
rnacentral:rRNA from 1 species